rnacentral:rRNA from 1 species
UAAACGACUCUCGGCAACGGAUAUCUCGGCUCUCGCAUCGAUGAAGAACGCAGCGAAAUGCGAUACUUGGUGUGAAUUGCAGGAUCCCGCGAACCAUCGAGUUUUUGAACGCAAGUUGCGCCCGAAGCCUUUUGGCUGAGGGCACGUCUGCCUGGGUGUCACUC